rnacentral:lncRNA from 12 species
AUGGGCGUGCGGAGCGGGUGUGGUGCUUGGCAAGGAGCACGCACGCUGAGUGAACCAACCUCCCUGCUGGAGGGUGACCCCGGCUGGCGCCGCUGGAGCUCCGGAAGGCCAGGCUGCAGGUGUGUCCCAAUCCCCGUGGCAAACCACGGAACACGCUUGCAGACAGGAGAGCAGCCACCUGUGUUCCUCUCAUGCAGUGACCUGGGAGCUCGUCUCCAGCUCCCGUCCCCAUCCCGCUGUGGCCCUUGGGUGGGUCACCUCUGGCGCCUGUCCCCAUCCCGCUCUGGCUCUCAGGCGGGCCUGCAGGGUCGGGAUCCAGCCGCUCCGAGCUGCCAGGUGCUGAGGGUCGGCCCGCGCACCGUGCCGCUCCCACCGGACCCACACAGCUGCUGGGCUGGUCUUUCUGAGCCGUUCUGGAAUGCAGCCAACAGACACGAAGAGAGGAGGGAAACAGCCGUGUCCCCAGCACGAAGCCCGCCCCUCUCGGCGCUUUCUCUAGACGGGGGUCUGCAAACACGGCCGCUGCCUGUUUUUGUAAAUGGAGUAAUAGGUUUUAUUGGCACAUGGCCUCGCCCACCCGUUUACCUGCGGCCAGGGGUGCUUUCCGGCGGCAGGGCACAGGUGAGCAGUCAGGAGAGAUCCUGGGCCUCGUCGGAGGCCCCGAGUAUUUGCCACGUGGCCCCACAGAGGAAGUUUGCAGCCCCUGCCCCGCCCCCAGCCGAGUUCUCUGUCCUGGGCCCCCUGGGGCCCCCGGGCCCCCCAGGAGCCAGCAGCCCAGCCUCACUGCUCCGUCUAUUACUCAUGACCAGAGCGUGCUGGUGCCAAGCGGUCACACUGGUCUCUUUUCCAGGGACUGCGGUUUUCUUGUUUGCUGUUAGGGCUUUUUAUCUCGGGCAUGUUGUCCAUGUCGGGGGCGGGAAGAGUCCUCGGCUCACAUUUCCUUUAUCUGGAUUCGAAAUAACUCGCCAUCCAAAUCAGUACUUGCUGUGUUCCUGCUUUACGGUCAAAUGCUUUUUUAUUUUUAUGGGAAGGAUGUUUCCUAAGUGCUUUUGCAAUGGCGUCCUGGCCGAUGGAACGUGGCCUUCUUGUGAAACAUGCGGUUUUUUUUUUUUUAAGAAGGGAAGGAGCCACGUGGGGACAGCAGGGGCACAGAUGUCAGGUCAACAGCCUGCUUCAAUGACUACUUCCCCUUAA